UCAUGGCUCAGAACGAACGCUGGCGGCAGGCCUAACACAUGCAAGUCGAACGAGAUCUUCGGAUCUAGUGGCGGACGGGUUAGUAACGCGUGGGAACGUGCCUUUCACUACGGGAUAGUCCUGGGAAACUGGGUUUAAUACCGUAUACGUCCUCCGGGAGAAAGAUUUAUCGGUGAAGGAUUGGCCCGCGUUAGAUUAGAUAGUUGGUGGGGUAACGGCCUACCAAGUCUACGAUCUAUAGCUGGUUUGAGAGGAUGAUCAGCAACACUGGGACUGAGACACGGCCCAGACUCCUACGGGAGGCAGCAGUGGGGAAUCUUAGACAAUGGGCGAAAGCCUGAUCUAGCGAUGCCGCGUGAGUGACGAAGGCCUUAGGGUCGUAAAGCUCUUUCGCCAGGGAUGAUAAUGACAGUACCUGGUAAAGAAACCCCGGCUAACUCCGUGCCAGCAGCCGCGGUAAUACGGAGGGGGUUAG
rnacentral:rRNA from 1 species